CGCCACACUGUCUUCCACAAUGGUUGAACCAAUUUACACUCCCAUUAACAGUGUAAAAGUGUUCCUAUUUCUCCACAUCCUCUCCAGCAUCUGUUGUCUCCAGAUUUUUUUAUGAUCGCCAUUCAAACUGGCAUGAGAUGGUAUCUCAAUGUGGUUUUGAUUUGCAUUUCUCUAAUGACCAGUGAUGAUGAGCUUUUUUUUAUGUUUGUUGGC